rnacentral:rRNA from 1 species
AUCUCCCUACGGGGGGCAGCAGUGAGGAAUAUUGCACAAUGGGGGAAACCCUGAUGCAGCAACGCCGCGUGGGAGAAGGAGCGUUUCGGCGCGUAAAGCCCUGUCAGCGGGGAAGAAGAAAGACGGUACCCGACCAAGAAGCCCCGGCUAACUACGUGCCAGCAGCCGCGGUAAUACGUAGGGGGCGAGCGUUAUCCGGAAUUACUGGGUGUAAAGGGAGCGUAGACGGCGAGGUAAGCCUGAAGUGGAAGCCCGCGGCCCAACCGCGGAACUGCUUUGGGACCUGGUUUGCUG